rnacentral:pre_miRNA from 2 species
CCCUCCCGCUAGAUCUAGCAGAGGGGAGGGCGUCGCCGCCGCCGCUACCUCCCCUCUCGCCGGAUCUGGUGGAGGGG